GACGGAGGAUGCAAGCGUUAUCCGGAAUUAUUGGGCGUAAAGCGUCCGCAGGUGGCACCUCAAGUCUGCUGUCAAAGACCGGGGCUUAACCCCAGAAAGGCAGUGGAAACUGAAGCGCUAGAGUGCAGUAGGGGUAGAGGGAAUUCCCGGUGUAGCGGUGAAAUGCGUAGAGAUCGGGAAGAACAUCGGUGGCGAAAGCGCUCUGCUGGACUGCAACUGACACUCAGGGACGAAAGCUAGGGGAGCGAAUGGG
rnacentral:rRNA from 1 species